UACCAUCAGAUUGUUCUUUUUUUGGCAUAAAAUAUUGCAGAGUUCUUUUGGUUUAUGUUCUAAUGAUGUUGCUCAAGAGUAUGAAAGGAAAUGGAACACAAAACCCUCUGUUUUUAGUUAUUUAAUAAGGGAAAGCACAAAGCUGAUGCGUACAUUUUUUUCAUGUUCCUUGAAAAA